AAGUCGUAACAAGGUUUCCGUAGGUGAACCUGCGGAAGGAUCAUUAUCCUUUUGCGUAGUAUUUCAAUGAUACUACAAGCGCUACUUUGCGUUUAAAAACACGCUGAUUAUAAAUGCCUUUUUAUAAUCAAAAUUAAUAUCCAUGCUUGUCUUAGUAUGGUCGGGUACCUAUGAAUGCUGUUGUCAUGCAAUUGCAUCAUAAGCGGUAUAGUUUUUACCGUAUGGUUUAAAGACAUUUCAUUCUAAAUGAAUUGCGCCCGUCGAGCUUUUAAACAAACACAUUUACAUUUAAAAAAUUUAUUAUGUUGUUUUUAUGUAAAAAGCGAAAAUAUUUUUAUAUUUGAGCAUUUAAACAUUAAACAACCCUAUGCGGUGGAUCACUUGGCUC
rnacentral:misc_RNA from 1 species